AUGCUCCAACCUCACCUCACCUCACCUCACAUCUUCAUCAUCUUCAUGCUUAUGUCCACAUCCAAAUUGCCCUGUGCUCAAACCAAACACAAACAGGCCCUGCAUCAGCCUGUUCGCCCACACAACAAAACCAAAACAGUGUCCCAAUUAACCUACAAACCAAAACAGUCCCAAUUAACCUACAUAUCGAAACAGUCCAAAACCAUGCCUUAA